rnacentral:lncRNA from 1 species
CAAAGGCAUUUUUCACUGUGGUAUUUUAGCCUUGGCUCCUAAUCCUGAUCUAAAGUACCUGGGUGUUUAUUCAGAAGUGUCUGGUCCUGACACAUAGUGAAGUCCUGACACAGCCUAUGUCUUGCUCUGGAUCCUUGUUUCAUCUUAUAAAAUACACAAAGUUAAUCUCUGUCUUGUCCUCUUUUCAGAAAGAAGACAGUGGCAACAAGGAGUAGUUGAUGGAGUUCCUGACAGCAGAUGUUUCUUUUAAUUUGACUGCUAUAGGGGUCUUCGAUAUACUAGCAUGAUUUUUUUUCUUGUCUGUGAAUUCAUAUGAAAAUGAAUUAUGGAGCUGGACUGCAUUAGGAAGUUGUUGUGCUUUAAAUUAAUUCUUUCUACAGUCAAAUGGGACCUUUGGAUGUUUGGAAAGUCCAACCACUAAAUGCUUUCCUGUUUCAUGUACUAUGGAGGGGAGUUCUCAUCUUCAUUCCUGCUCCAGAGAUAUUGACCUGCAGGAUGAGGAGACUUGGUGUGAGAACCAUAUGGAAGGGAAGAAGUAUCCCAGGCCCAAGAUACAAGUUUAUGGAUUGCAAGACAGGAGGCCAAACACCAAAACAGCAUCUAACAAAAGUGCUUUUUCUGUAGGAAGAGGCAAUACAACAUUUUGCUUCAGAAGAAUCUUAUUGGCCCUUCCUGGAUACUGGGUUGUAGGAAGAACUGAUGAAUGCUCCCUGCUGUGAGAGGAUGACUCUUCCAUCAAAGAGAGUGACCGUGGUUUUUUUGUUCCUGAGGACUCCUUCCUUCCCUCACAUGCUGCUUAUCUGGAUGAAGAAUCAUGGCUGGAAUUUAUAAAUGCUUCUCUGUUGUGCAAAGGAGCUUUGAUAGCAUGAAAUGAAUAACAGGUAACGUAAUAAGAAAAAGUAUCUGGCUACAGCUUUGGAAAUGU